CCAGAUUCAUCUUGUAAGGAUGCGCUUUUCCCUCUUCAUUUACAAGCGGUGACCAGACUUUUGACUCCGUUCUGCUGACCGUCAGGGUGAGCUCAUCUGCACAGCUCUUGAUUUUGUUCUGCGCCUCAAGGUGCGUCAUGUUAUCUGUGUUCACUCCAUCAAUGGCUAUGAUCUGGUCUCCUAUACACAGGUUGGCUAUUGCAGCUUUGCUACCUGGAGUUACCCGUGAGAUGGUGAGGGGCUGCUCGAAGUCCCGGCCGCCCACCAGGCGGAAGCCCCAGGGCCCGGGGCCCGUCAGCACGAUGCGGUGCGUUCCCAUGUGCGCGGCUACACCUCGUGGCACGCCCGGCAGCACCGGCUCCGCUCGGCACGGCUCUGCUCGGCUCGGCACAGCUCGGCACGGCACGGCCCGCCCCCGGCCCCUCCCCGGGCUGCCCGCCCCACAGGGCUGCCUGUACGGCCCCGGGAGGAGGACUGCGCCCCGCUCUGCCCCAGAGGCG
rnacentral:lncRNA from 1 species